GCAUCGAUGAAGAACGCAGCGAAAUGCGAUAAGUAAUGUGAAUUGCAGAAUUCAGUGAAUCAUCGAAUCUUUGAACGCACCUUGCGCUCCUUGGUAUUCCGAGGAGCAUGCCUGUUUGAGUGUCAUGGUA
rnacentral:rRNA from 1 species